rnacentral:rRNA from 1 species
UUGGAGGGCAAGUCUGGUGCCAGCAGCCGCGGUAAUUCCAGCUCCAAUAGCGUAUAUUAAAGUUGUUGCAGUUAAAAAGCUCGUAGUUGAAUUUCGGGGUCAGUAGGUUGGUCAUGCCACAGGUAUGUACUGAUCUUACUGAUUCCUCCUUCCUGAUGAACCGUAAUGCCAUUAAUUUGGUGUUGCGGGGAAACUGGACUGUUACUUUGAAAAAAUUAGAGUGUUUAAAGCAGGCUAACGCUUGAAUACAUUAGCAUGGAAUAAUGAAAUAGGACGUUCGAUCCUAUUUUGUUGGUUUCUAGGAUUGACGUAAUGAUUAAUAGGGAUAGUUGGGGGCAUUAGUAUUCAAUUGUCAGAGGUGAAAUUCUUGGAUUUAUUGAAGACUAACUACUGCGAAAGCAUUUGCCAAGGAUGUUUUCAUUAAUCAAGAACGAAAGUUAGGGGAUCGAAGACGAUCAGAUACCGUCGUAGUCUUAACCAUAAACUAUGCCGACUAGGGAUCGGAUGAUGUUAAUUUUUUAAUGACUCAUUCGGCGCCUUACGGGAAAC